GCCAGAGUAGCUCAGUUGGUAGAGCAAUCCCUUCGUAAGGGAAAGGUCGUGAGUUCAAUUCCCACCUCUGGCUCCA
rnacentral:tRNA from 1 species